UACGAAGGGGGCGAGCGUUGUUCGGAAUUACUGGGCGUAAAGGGCGCGUAGGCGGCCGAUCAAGUCAGAUGUGAAAGUCCUGGGCUUAACCUGGGGACUGCAUUUGAUACUGAUUGGCUUGAAUUCGGGAGAGGAUAGCGGAAUUCCCAGUGUAGAGGUGAAAUUCGUAGAUAUUGGGAAGAACACCGGUGGCGAAGGCGGCUAUCUGGACCGACAUUGACGCUGAGGCGCGAAAGCGUGGGGAGCGAACAGG
rnacentral:rRNA from 1 species